rnacentral:rRNA from 1 species
GUGACGCUGAUGCUUAUUGCACCACAUGUGUUUUUCUUUGAAACAAACUUGCUUUGGCGGUGGGCCCAGCCUGCCGCCAGAGGUCUAAACUUACAACCAAUUUUUUAUCAACUUGUCACACCAGAUUAUUACUAAUAGUCAAAACUUUCAACAACGGAUCUCUUGGUUCUCGCAUCGAUGAAGAACGCAGCGAAAUGCGAUACGUAAUAUGAAUUGCAGAUAUUCGUGAAUCAUCGAAUCUUUGAACGCACAUUGCGCCCUCUGGUAUUCCGGAGGGCAUGCCUGUUUGAGCGUCGUUUCUCCCUCAAACCGCUGGGUUUGGUGUUGAGCAAUACGACUUGGGUUUGCUUGAAAGACGGUAGUGGUAAGGCGGGAUCGCUUUGACAAUGGCUUAGGUCUAACCAAAAACAUUGCUUGCGGCGGUAACGUCUACCACGUAUAUCUUCAAACUUUGACCUCAAAUCAGGUAGGACUACCCGCUGAACUUAAGCAUAUCAAAA